GACGAAUGCUGGCGGCGUGCUUAACACAUGCAAGUCGAACGGUGAAGGAGGGCUUGCCCUCCGGAUCAGUGGCGAACGGGUGAGUAACACGUGGGCAACCUGCCCUUCACUCUGGGAUAACCUCGGGAAACCGUGGCUAAUACCGGAUAUGACCUAGAGCGACAUCUCUUUAGGUGGAAAGAAUUUCGGUGAAGGAUGGGCCCGCGGCCUAUCAGCUAGUUGGUGGGGUAACGGCCCACCAAGGCGACGACGGGUAGCCGGCCUGAGAGGGCGACCGGCCACACUGGGACUGAGACACGGCCCAGACUCCUACGGGAGGCAGCAGUGGGGAAUAUUGCGCAAUGGGCGAAAGCCUGACGCAGCGACGCCGCGUGAGGGACGAAGG
rnacentral:rRNA from 1 species